UGGGUCUCGCUCGUUACCUGACUUAACAGGAUGCUUCACAGUACGAACUGACGACGGCCAUGCACCACCUCUCAGCUAAUCCGGUAAAGUCUUCAGCCUGACCUUCAUAUCGCUGUCGCCCCCGGUGAGAUUUCCGGCGUUGAAUCCAAUUAAACCGCAGGCUCCACCCGUUGUAGUGCUCCCCCGCCAAUUCCUUUAAGUUUCAGCCUUGCGGCCAUACUUCCCAGGUGGCUCGCUUCACGGCUUCCCUACGGCACCAAUCACGGUCGCACCGUGACUGACACCUAGCGAGCAUCGUUUACGGCUAGGACUACCCGGGUAUCUAAUCCGGUUCGUGCCCCUAGCUUUCGUCCCUUACCGUCGGACCCGUUCUGGUGAGACGCCUUCGCCACUGGUGGUCCCUCGAGGAUCACAAGAUUUCACCCCUACCCCCAAGGUACCUCUCACCUCUCCCGGUCCCAAGCCAAACAGUAUCCCCUAGCAGCCUGACAGUUGAGCUGCCAGAUUUCCCAAGGGACUUACCUGGCCGGCUACAGACCCUUUAGACCCAAUAAUAGCGGUUACCACUCGGGCCGCCGGUGUUACCGCGGCGGCUGGCACCGGUCUUGCCCGGCCCUUGCUAACAGAUGCUUUUUAGGCAUCUGGACAGCCAACAUUAUAUGCUGGCACUCGAGAUCCCCUUAUCACGGUUUCCCGCAUUGUAAAGUUUUUCGCGCCUGCUGCACCCCGUAGGGCCUGGAUUCGUGUCUCAGAAUCC
rnacentral:rRNA from 1 species